AGAAAAACAGCUGCCAUGAUUGCUGUUUGAUUGAGAGCGCUUACACACACACACACACACACACACACACACACCCCGACCGGACGGCAAAGACGAGCUACAAAUGCCUGAGGAUUCAGCUUUAGAGGAUCAACACACAUUUCCUUUAAAAAAAUAUAAGUAUUAUAAGGUUUUUCCUCUCUCUCUCUUUUUAAGAAAAUGUACUACGUAGAAUUGCUUUUCUUCUUCCCAUCCCCCCUUCAUAACCUCAAGCAAACUCGAGGAAUCAUGCCAAAAGUCCCGUUGCUAGUUACCAAGUGCAUUUUUUUAAACAUCCCUUUGAUACUUCUUUCCCUCAUGCUUGCUGUGGAAUAUGCAAGUGAGAUAAUCUUUCCAUUACUUAGAAAAGCAAUUAAAAACAACUUUCAGUUGAACUUUCCUUUUUAUUGAGGGGGCAAAAGAAGGGGUGGGGGGGAGGGAGAAAAUUUUUUCCUCUUCCCAGAACCCAACAUUUGGCUUUUUCCAUUUGUGGCAGAUCACUGUAACUCUAUUGUAAAACAACUUCCUGCCCCUUUUGGCUCAAGUUCCAGAAGCUGCUAGGCUAAGUUCAUAGCACAAACUUUUUUUCUCCUUGCCGAAGAAGCAAGACAAAAAAAUCCUUGCUAAUUAUUUUGCCCUCUUUCUUGCAAAUGGAUUCAUAAGAUGAAUUUAUUGCAGUCCCCUUAACAAUGUUACAAAAGAGACGUCCGCAUACCAGCUGGAUAAUUCAUAAAUUUAAAAGUGAGAGUAACUACUCAAGAGACCAACAAAAGCCAGUUGCAUAAUAGAGCUGGCCGUCAAAAUAAAGGUAAAACAAGAGUGAACUAAAUACAUUUGGGGAUUGUUUUGAUAAGGGAGUCUCAUCUGAUGAGAUCGCUUAAUGAGACUGGCUCUUGCAUAAGUUUCACUGUCUAAAUCACAUUCGGAAAUAAUUCUGACACCAUAAUGUUGUUAAUGUGCUAUGUAUAUUUAUUUUUGUAAUUUAUAUAACAUCUAUCUCUGUGGUGGUAAUUAAACGUCAGCUAUCUUGAAGGAAACCCAGCCUUGCUAUUGAGAUCUACACUGUAUAUGAGAUGAUUAAAUCAUUAACAGGGAUGCUAAUACUACAGAAUCAACUUAACACUUGUAAUGGAAUGUUUGUCUUUUUCGUGCACACUGCUAGAGAUACUGUUCUUUUUAAAAGAGUGAAAACCACCUUUGAAUCAACUACUAGGACAGCAUGUUAAAAGUUCAGAAGGUAUCUCAGUAAGAAAAAUCAUCAAACUGAGUGGGGGCAUUUUGAAGGUUAAGAGGUGCCAUCUGUCAGUAUAUACUAAAAAUCCCUUACUACUAGAUAUAUUAUAUUGGACAGAUUAUUUAUUGGGAAAAUUAAAGUUAAUUGCAAGACAGCUCUUAAUAAAAGAAAAACUUGUUUACUAACAAAAAGUAAGUCCCAAAUCUUAAAGUGAUAUUGUCAGAUCAACUGAGGAUCCCAAUUUUGUUUUUAAAAAGAAAGCAGCAUUUAUAAAACCUAAGACUGACAAAAUGUUUCCUUCAUUUUUCUAAAAAUUCCAGUUCUAGAACUCUUUUUGUUCAGAAUAAACAUUUCCCUAAAGAAGUGGUUCUUAACCUAUUUAUCAUUGUGGGCCUCAUCCAAUACUACCUGUAUGAUGCUGAGGAUGUUGUAUGUGCUGCAGCUGUGUGCUAAUUGGGCUGCAGGUUGAGAAUCACUGCCUUGUUGUGUCUGCAACCCAAACAUUGCAUCACUGUCCUAGUGCAUUAGAACCAAAAGAUGAAAAAUCACUAACUGAACAAUAAGGCACAGUGAAACUCACUCAUCUAUUUUCACUCUCCAAGCUAAAUAUACAGUAAAAGGCAAACAAUAUUACUGCCUCUAUGCAAAGGUAACUCUUUGUAUUUUCAAUAUUCAUUUAAAUAUAACUUGUUAAUACCGGGAAGGAAUUUAAAUAUAUAUGGAUUUCUGAUCUGACAGUGUUCCUUCUAUUAGGCAACAUUUAAAAUGGACAUAACCUAUAUUUUUUUUUAAAUUCUGAUUUAUAUGAAAGCCUCAGUUAUUAAACUGAAAGAUUUUUAAAAUCUAAUUUAUAUUUCAUGAUUUAAAAAUAUUUUAUUUUUCACUUCACUUGGACAAAGAAAAGAUAUUUGUCCAUUUCAGUGUUGCAUGUAGUCAGUUUUACUUGCCGGUUCUCAUGUCCUAGCACCAGGCUGUGCUUGCUUGGUUCCAUAGCUGAGCGGUUUUCAUUAAAAUCAAAUAAAAAGCAUAAACAUUCUAUGUACAAUGGGUUUUGUUUAAAUCAUCUUAUUUUCUUUUGUUUUAUUACUCAAUCCAAAUUUUGGACCUAAAAGUAUUUGACAGUCUCUAUCUGAAUACAAACAAUUCCCAAAAUAUGUUCUUUACUUUGAAAAACAAUAAACUUUUUAUUUGAGAUUGAUAGAAUUGAAGAAAAUAAAAUUUUAAAAGGAGAGAACUAAAAAGAUCAGUCAAUAAUAAAUGAUAGAUUAUUUGCAAUCUUGUAGAAGUGUUACAUUUUCCAGGCUAUGUUUUCCUUUGUUCAAAAGGCAAAUCCUUACUAUAGCAUACAGCCCAGUCACAUGGAGUGUGCUGGUGAGGUCUGCAGCAUCUGAAAGAAACUGGCCCUGGUAACUGGUACACUCCCCCUCCUCAAGAAGAAGAGUCCUGCACAAUUGACAAAUCUAUGUUGAAAAUCCACUGCUCCAACUGCUCUGUCAGCCCCUGCCCAAAGCACCUCACCUGUUCAACUGCUUUUUGGAAGUCCCAGCAUAAUUGUGCUCUGCAGUACACUGGGGGUCUCUAACUUCUGCACAGGCUCUCCAUAUCCUCCUUCCUAAUCCUGCCGCAGUAUUGCAUGAGAUCCAAUACGGUCCAGGCCUUACCUCCCUACACACACACGAUCCACUAUGGUCCAGGCCCUCCCCCCACCCCCGGACAUGUUGGCAUGCACAAAUGCAAGCAAGAUUUGCCCACAGUAUGCUAAUGACACAGACAUACAAGCACCUAGUAAAAGGUGUAGGACUUAUUAUUGGAGUGGUCCAACAGUAGUCAGUAGAAAUAUUCACAAGUAGCAAACACUACAGCAGCUAGUGUUGUCAGGCUCGACUAGUGUUGUCAGUCAACAGCAACAUAAUGGACGCAAUUCUCUGCUCCAUUACACCAAUUAUAGCCAGCAUACUCCACUGUUUUUAAGGGAGUUACCUUGGUGUAAAAUGUGGUAUAACGGGGUGGAGAAUCAAAGUCAGUAUGACUAGAGCUAUCAAAGUUUGAGGGUAAAUAAUUAUUUUAACAUAUUUUAGCCCUGAGCCAGCACUUGAAUCUAUUCUUGUAGGUAGGAGAAGAAGUCAUAAAGUUUUAUAUACUGUUUGUUAUUUAUUUUUAUAAAUGUAACAUUGUAAGUUUUUUAUUAUUAUUAUUCCUUUGUGCUCAAUUUUAACCCUGCUGUGUAUUAAGCAACUUGGUUAAGUCAUCAGAGAUUAAUGGUUUAUCUUUGGAAAGAAGGAAACAUUUGUAAGACCAUAUUUUUAUUCAAGAUAUAUGUGUUCACAGGUUGAGUAAUUUUGGGGGGAUCUAACUGUUUUAUUUCAUAGAUUUCAAUGAUGAAUGGAGAAUAUCAUACAGAUGAAACAGAUGGAUUGGGUAACGGAACAUAAUAUACAUCUUUCAAAUGUAUGAAAUUUUUUUUCUGAAGGAAGUAAUGGCUCUGUAAAGUAGCUGAAAAAAAUUUCGCAAUGAUCAUUGGUCAUAUUAAGCAGCUAAAAUGAUGCAUCAGGUUCUGCUUUCAGACAGAGUAAAUCAAGAGUAACCUUUUGAAGUCAAACAGUCAUAUUGCUGUAAAACCAAUGCAAGUGAGAGAAGAAUCUAGUUCACUUAUACAUCAGCCUUUACAUUUUACAUCAUCAACUCCAUUUCACAUGAUCCUUCACUAUUUAGGGAGUUCAAUGUGUGUUUUGACAAAGUAAGGACACUACCUUUGCACGGUAUAUCCCGUACAUGUUGAGGAUGUCAUGGGCAUAAGGUGAUAAAAUCUUCUGACGGAGUACGUUGUCACAUUUCUUUGCAAGAUGAAAAACAGUGCAUAUUUUGAGAUAAGGUCUCUGCCCCAAAUGUCCAGAUUUAGUAUCUCAGUUGCCAUAUUUUAGGAUUCACUUUUUAGACAAAUUCAGUAACUUUCUCUUACCUAAUAAUCUCUGAUUAAAAAAUUAAGAUUAGCAAAUUCAGAAAAUGUUAAAAUAAUUGCAAUUUUUUUACUGCCACUUUAAAAUGUGAAUUGCUGUAAGAUUUUCAAAUCAGAGAAAUAAAGCACUUGCAGAUGUUA